GCAGGAUAUGGCAGUACUGGGACAGAGUGAAAGGAAGGUAGCAGGAUAUGGCAGUACUGGGACAGAGUGAAAGGAAGGUAACAGGAUAUGGCAGUACUGGGACAGAGUGAAAGGAAGGUAACAGGAUAUGGCAGUACUGGGACAGAGUGAAAGGAAGGUAGCAGGAUAUGGCAGUACUGGGACAGAGUGAAAGGAAGGUAGCAGGAUAUGGCAGUACUGGGACAGAGUGAAAGGAAGGUAGCAGGAUAUGGCAGUACUGGGACAGAGUGAAAGGAAGGUAACAGGAUAUGGCAGUACUGGGACAGAGUGAAAGGAAGGUAACAGGAUAUGGCAGUACUGGGACAGAGUGAAAGGAAGGUAGCAGGAUAUGGCAGUUAUGGGACAGAGUGAAAGGAAGGUAACAGGAUAUGGCAGUAUGUGGACAGAGUGAAAGGAAGGUAGCAGGAUAUGGCAGUACUGGGACAGAGUGAAAGGAAGGUAGCAGGAUAUGGCAGUACUGGGACAGAGUGAAAGGAAGGUAGCAGGAUAUGGCAGUACUGGGACAGAGUGAAAGGAAGGUAGCAGGAUAUGGCAGUACUGGGACAGAGUGAAAGGAAGGUAGCAGGAUAUGGCAGUACUGGGACAGAGUGAAAGGAAGGUAGCAGGAUAUGGCAGUACUGGGACAGAGUGAAAGGAAGGUAGCAGGAUAUGGCAGUACUGGGACAGAGUGAAAGGAAGGUAGCAGGAUAUGGCAGUACUGGGACAGAGUGAAAGGAAGGUAGCAGGAUAUGGCAGUACUGGGACAGAGUGAAAGGAAGGUAGCAGGAUAUGGCAGUACUGGGACAGAGUGAAAGGAAUGUAAUAAGAUACACCUGUACUGGCUGAAAAUAAAAGGAAGGUAGCAGGAUAUGGCAGUACUGGGACAGAGUGAAAGGAAGGUAGCAGGAUAUGGCAGUACUGGGACAGAGUGAAAGGAAUGUAAUAAGAUACACCUGUACUGGCUGAAAAUAAAAGGAAGGUAGCAGGAUAUGGCAGUACUGGGACAGAGUGAAAGGAAGGUAGCAGGAUAUGGCAGUACUGGGACAGAGUGAAAGGAAUGUAAUAAGAUACACCUGUACUGGCUGAAAAUAAAAGGAAGGUAGCAGGAUAUGGCAGUACUGGGACAGAGUGAAAGGAAGGUAGCAGGAUAUGGCAGUACUGGGACAGAGUGAAAGGAAGGUAGCAGGAUAUGGCAGUACUGGGACAGAGUGAAAGGAAGGUAGCAGGAUAUGGCAGUACUGGGACAGAGUGAAAGGAAGGUAGCAGGAUAUGGCAGUACUGGGACAGAGUGAAAGGAAGGUAGCAGGAUAUGGCAGUACUGGGACAGAGUGAAAGGAAGGUAGCAGGAUAUGGCAGUACUGGGACAGAGUGAAAGGAAGGUAGCAGGAUAUGGCAGUACUGGGACAGAGUGAAAGGAAGGUAGCAGGAUAUGGCAGUACUGGGACAGAGUGAAAGGAAGGUAGCAGGAUAUGGCAGUACUGGGACAGAGUGAAAGGAAGGUAGCAGGAUAUGGCAGUACUGGGACAGAGUGAAAGGAAGGUAGCAGGAUAUGGCAGUACUGGGACAGAGUGAAAGGAAGGUAGCAGGAUAUGGCAGUACUGGGACAGAGUGAAAGGAAGGUAGCAGGAUAUGGCAGUACUGGGACAGAGUGAAAGGAAGGUAGCAGGAUAUGGCAGUACUGGGACAGAGUGAAAGGAAGGUAGCAGGAUAUGGCAGUACUGGGACAGAGUGAAAGGAAUGUAAUAAGAUACACCUGUACUGGCUGAAAAUAAAAGGAAGGUAACAGGAUAUGUCAGUACUGGACAAUAGUGAAAGUAAGGUAAUGGGAUAUGCUAAUAAGUGGUGCAAG